AACGAACGCUGGCGGCAGGCUUAACACAUGCAAGUCGAGCGCCCCGCAAGGGGAGCGGCAGACGGGUGAGUAACACGUGGGGAUCUGCCCAAUGGUACGGAAUAACUCAGGGAAACUUGUGCUAAUACCGUAUGUGCCCGCAAGGGGAAAGAUUUAUCGCCAUUGGAUGAACCCGCGUCGGAUUAGCUAGUUGGUGUGGUAAAGGCGCACCAAGGCGACGAUCCGUAGCUGGUCUGAGAGGAUGAUCAGCCACACUGGGACUGAGACACGGCCCAGACUCCUACGGGAGGCAGCAGUGGGGAAUAUUGGACAAUGGGCGCAAGCCUGAUCCAGCCAUGCCGCGUGAGUGAUGAAGGCCUUAGGGUUGUAAAGCUCUUUCACCGAUGAAGAUAAUGACGGUAGUCGGAGAAGAAGCCCCGGCUAACUUCGUGCCAGCCGCCGCCGAACAC
rnacentral:rRNA from 1 species